UUAGCAGCAUCACCAUCCUGUUCCUGGCCCUCUUUGUUUUUACCACAUGGCCAUCACCCACGAAGCGAGCAAACCCACUGCCAUCAAAAUCAGAUCGACUGAGCCUAGUCUGAGUGGUUUUUCUUAAGUGUGGGGAGGUGGGUAGCACCCAAACCAUCACAAGAGGUCACAGUGCUUGCCUUGGUAGCCUGGGACACAGUAGCAGGAGUACUCAUCAACCCCAUCCGUACAGACGGCUCCGUUGUGGCAGGGCUGGGACACGCACUCGUCGAGCUCCAUCUCACAGCGAGCACCUGUGUACCCCGCGCUGCAGAGGCAGGUGGGCCCAGCCAGGCUGCCUUGGCAGCUGCCGCCGUGCUCGCAAGGGUUCGUGUCACACGGGCUGGUGGCCGUUUCACAGAGACUCAAUUUCCCUGCUGCCCCAGACUGACAUGGAAGGUUGAAUUCAGGAACCUAUUCAGCUAUUGUGAGCUAUGUGGAAACAAGAGAAGAAGCACAGCACAGCAUGUGGAAGAUGCACUCCUCCA